rnacentral:rRNA from 1 species
AUUGAACGCUGGCGGCAGGCCUAACACAUGCAAGUCGAGCGAGCGGCGGACGGGUGAGUAAUGUAUGGGGACUGCCCGAUAGAGGGGGAUAACUACUGGAAACGGUGGCUAAUACCGCAUACUAUCGGAUAACCCAUAUAGGAUUAGCUAGUAGGUGGGGUAAAGGCUCACAUAGGCGACGAUCUCUAGCUGGUCUGAGAGGAUGAUCAACCAGACUGGGACUGAGACACGGCCCAGACGACUACGGAGGCAGCAUGGGUGAAUAUUGCACAAUGGGCGCAAGCCGGAUGCAUCCAUGCCGCGUGUAGGAAGAAGGCCUUAGGGUUGUAAAGUACUUUCAGCGGGGCGGCGUUACCCGCAGAAGAAGCACCGGCUAACUCCGUGCCAGCAGCCGCGGUAAUAC